UGCAAGUCGAACGAUGAAGCCCAGCUUGCUGGGUGGAUUAGUGGCGAACGGGUGAGUAACACGUGAGUAACCUGCCCUUAACUCUGGGAUAAGCCUGGGAAACUGGGUCUAAUACCGGAUAGGAGCGCCCACCGCAUGGUGGGUGUUGGAAAGAUUUAUCGGUUUUGGAUGGACUCGCGGCCUAUCAGCUUGUUGGUGAGGUAAUGGCUCACCAAGGCGACGACGGGUAGCCGGCCUGAGAGGGUGACCGGCCACACUGGGACUGAGACACGGCCCAGACUCCUACGGGAGGCAGCAGUGGGGAAUAUUGCACAAUGGGCGCAAGCCUGAUGCAGCGACGCCGCGUGAGGGAUGACGGCCUUCGGGUUGUAAACCUCUUUCAGUAGGGAAGAAGCGAAAGUGACGGUACCUGCAGAAGAAGCACCGGCUAACUACGUGCCAGCAGCCGCGGUAAUACGUAGGGUGCGAGCGUUAUCCGGAAUUAUUGGGCGUAAAGAGCUCGUAGGCGGUUUGUCGCGUCUGUCGUGAAAGUCCGGGGCUUAACCCCGGAUCUGCGGUGGGUACGGGCAGACUAGAGUGCAGUAGGGGAGACUGGAAUUCCUGGUGUAGCGGUGGAAUGCGCAGAUAUCAGGAGGAACACCGAUGGCGAAGGCAGGUCUCUGGGCUGUAACUGACGCUGAGGAGCGAAAGCAUGGGGAGCGAACAGGAUUAGAUACCCUGGUAGUCCAUGCCGUAAACGUUGGGCACU
rnacentral:rRNA from 1 species